GCUCGUAGCUUCGUGUGUGCAGCGCAUGGCUGGACUUCAGCUUCCGCGAGGCUGGUUUCGAGGGAAAAGAUUAUUUUAUUUUUAAAAGCACAUGAAAGGAAUAUGGAAGAACUUUGGGAUACCUUGACAAAACUAAACCUUCAAAUUAUAGGUAUAGAUUAGGAAGGAGCAUCCUAAGCCAACACACACAUCUAUAAAGAUACAAGAAGCACACAGAACAACAAAUAAACUCUUUACAGUAUAAUCAUGGUUAAACCACCAAAUAAUGCAGAACAAAGAAAAAUAUUGAAAGUUGAAAAAGCCACAAGUAACAUAAACUAAACAAAAUUAUCUGCUGUAGUUGAAGAAAAAAAAAACUUUCCAUGAUCCAAACAGUCUGAAGGAAUUCAUAUCCAAUAGACCAAGCCCACAAAGGAUACUGGAUGUAAUACUUCAGACUGAAGAAGCACAGCCAAGAUACUGCAGAAAGAGAGUGAGUGAAGCAUGAGGAGUGUGAGAGAAAACGACAUGUCUGUAAACAACACACACAACACAGGCUGGCUGAAAGAAUAAGAAACAAAAUCCAUCUUUCUGUUGUUUUUGAGGCCCCACAUUAGAGUAAAAGAAUGGAAAACAGUACUUCAAUCUAAUGGGACCAGGAAGCAAGAAGUACUGCUAUCCUGACAUCUGGCAAAACAAACACACAAAAC
ensembl:lincRNA Gm26692 predicted gene, 26692